rnacentral:rRNA from 1 species
AUUGAACGCUGGCGGUAGGCCUAACACAUGCAAGUCGAACGGCAGCACAGUAAUAGCUUGCUCUUACGGGUGGCGAGUGGCGGACGGGUGAGGAAUACAUCGGAAUCUACUUUUUCGUGGGGGAUAACGUAGGGAAACUUACGCCAAUACCGCAUACGACCUACGUGUGAAAGCAGGGGAUCUUCGGACCUUGCGCGAUUGAAUGAGGCGAUGUCGGAUUAGCUAGUUGGCGGGGUAAAGGCCCACCAAGGCGACGAUCCGUAGCUGGUCUGAGAGGAUGAUCAGCCACACUGGAACUGAGACACGGUCCAGACUCCUACGGGAGGCAGCAGUGGGGAAUAUUGGACAAUGGGCGCAAGCCUGAUCCAGCCAUACCGCGUGGGUGAAGAAGGCCUUCGGGUUGUAAAGCCCUUUUGUUGGGAAAGAAAAGCAGCAGGUUAAUACCCCGCUGUUCUGACGGUACCCAAAGAAUAAGCACCGGCUAACUUCGUG